UCCGACCUACGGGGGGCAGCAGUGGGGAAUAUUGCACAAUGGGGGAAACCCUGAUGCAGCGACGCCGCGUGAGUGAGGAAGUAUUUCGGUAUGUAAAGCUCUAUCAGCAGGGAAGAAAAUGACGGUACCUGACUAAGAAGCCCCGGCUAACUACGUGCCAGCAGCCGCGGUAAUACGUAGGGGGCAAGCGUUAUCCGGAUUUACUGGGUUUAAAGGGUGCGUAGGCGGAGUGUCAAGUCAGCGGUAAAAUUUCGGGGCUCAACCCCGUCGUGCCGUUGAAACUGACGCCCUUGAGUGAGUGAGAA
rnacentral:rRNA from 1 species